rnacentral:rRNA from 1 species
UACGUAGGGGGCAAGCGUUGUCCGGAUUUAUUGGGCGUAAAGAGCGUGUAGGCGGUUAGGUAGGUCCGUUGUGAAAACUCGAGACUCAACCUCGAGACGCCGAUGGAAACCAUCUAACUAGAGUCCGGAAGAGGAGAGUGGAAUUCCUGGUGUAGCGGUGAAAUGCGCAGAUAUCAGGAAGAACACCCGUGGCUAAGGCGGCUCUCUAGUACGGUACUGACGCUGAGACGCGAAAGCGUGGGGAGCGAACAGG